rnacentral:rRNA from 1 species
ACACAUGCAAGUCGAGGGGCAGCAUGGUCUUAGCUUGCUAAGGCCGAUGGCGACCGGCGCACGGGUGAGUAACGCGUAUCCAACCUGCCUUACACUCUUGGACGGCCUUCUGAAAGGGAGAUUAAUACAAGAUGUUAUCAUGAGUAAGCAUUUUCACAUGAUUAAAGGUUUACCGGUGUAAGAUGGGGAUGCGUUCCAUUAGAUAGUAGGCGGGGUAACGGCCCACCUAGUCUUCGAUGGAUAGGGGUUCUGAGAGGAAGGUCCCCCACAUUGGAACUGAGACACGGUCCAAACUCCUACGGGAGGCAGCAGUGAGGAAUAUUGGUCAAUGGACGAGAGUCUGAACCAGCCAAGUAGCGUGAAGGAUGAAGGUUCUAUGGAUUGUAAACUUCUUUUAUACGGGAAUAAACGGAUCCACGUGUGGAUUUUUGCAUGUACCGUAUGAAUAAGGAUCGGCUAACUCCGUGCCAGCAGCCGCGGUAAUACGGAGGAUCCGAGCGUUAUCCGGAUUUAUUGGGUUUAAAGGGAGCGUAGAUGGGUUGUUAAGUCAGUUGUGAAAGUUUGCGGCUCAACCGUAAAAUUGCAAUUGAUACUGGCAGUCUUGAGUACAGUUGAGGUAGGCGGAAUUCGUGGUGUAGCGGUGAAAUGCUUAGAUAUCACGAAGAACUCCGAUUGCGAAGGCAGCUUACUAACCUGUAACUGACAUUGAUGCUCGAAAGUGUGGGUAUCAAACAGGAUUAGAUACCCUGGUAGUCCACACGGUAAACGAUGAAUACUCGCUGUAGGCGAUAUACGGUCUGCGGCCAAGCGAAAGCAUUAAGUAUUCCACCUGGGGAGUACGCCGGCAACGGUGAAACUCAAA